UUCGGGAUGGUGACGGGGUUAAAAGGUCGACGGUGGCCGGGGAUCCCACGGGGAAAGUUGGAGAGGACUGCUUGCGAGAGGGGGAGGCAGAGAAGCAGAUAGGAGGCUGUGAGGUUUUAGUUUUGUAGUCUGUAGAGAGUCUUGAAGUUUGGGGAAAAGUUUUAAUGGAAAUUACGAUCACGGCUAGGAGCUCUGGGAUUCUAAAUAUAAAUAUGGUGGCGGUAUCUAUGGGGCCGAGUUCUGUCGGUCCACGGAGAUGGGAAGACAGCAUUGUUUCAGAAGAACGGAUCCUGUCGUCUGAAAUUACGGCGAUGGCUUGUAUUUGUUCCUUAGCUCAUUAAACUUUAUUUGGGCGAGGUUUAAAUCCACCACACAGGGUGAAAUCUAUCUCCAUGACAACAUUCACACAACAGGAAAUUGAAUUUCUUCAAAAACAUGGAAAUGAAGUCUGUAAACAGAUUUGGCUAGGAUUAUUUGAUGAUAGAUCUUCAGCAAUUCCAGACUUCAGGGAUCCACAAAAAGUGAAAGAGUUUCUACAAGAAAAAUAUGAAAAGAAAAGAUGGUAUGUCCCACCAGAACAAGCCAAAGUAGUGGCAUCAGUUCAUGCGUCUAUUUCAGGGUCCUCUGCCAGUAGCACAAGCAGCACACCCGAGGUCAAACCACUGAAAUCUCUUUUAGGAGAUUCUGCACCAGCACUGCACUUAAAUAAGGGCACGCCUAGUCAGUCCCCAGUUGUAGGUCGCUCUCAGGGGCAGCAGCCGGAAAAGAAGCAGUUUGACCUUUUAAGUGAUCUUGGCUCAGAUAUCUUUGCUGCUCCAGCUCCUCAGUCAACAGCAACGGCCAAUUUUGCUAACUUUGCACAUUUCAACAGUCAUGCAGCUCAGAAUUCUGCAAAUGCAGAUUUUGCAAACUUUGAUGCAUUUGGACAGUCUAGUGGUUCGAGUAAUUUUGGAGGUUUCCCCACAGCAAGUCACUCUCCUUUUCAGCCCCAAACUACAGCAUUUAGAAUGCUUUCAUCUAGCUGCAGUUUUGGUGAAUUUACUUCAGCUUUUCCUCUCCAGGCUGCCCACAGUGGAAGUGCUGGAUCAGUAAAUGCUAAUUUUGCUCAUUUUGAUAACUUCCCCAAAUCCUCCAGUGCUGAUUUUGGAACCUUCAAUACUUCCCAGAGUCAUCAAACAUCAUCAGCUGUUAGUAAAGUUUCAACAAACAAAGCUGGUUUACAGACAACAGACAAAUAUGCUGCACUUGCUAAUUUAGACAAUAUCUUCAGUUCUGGGCAAGGUGGUGAUCAAGGGAGUGGCUUUGGGACCACAGGUAAAGCUCCUGUUGGUUCUGUGGUUUCAGUUCCCAGUCAGUCAAGUGCAUCUUCCGACAAGUAUGCAGCCCUGGCAGAACUAGACAGCGUUUUCAGUUCCGCCGCCACCUCCAGUAACGCAUAUACAUCCACAAGUAAUGCUAGCAGCAAUGUUUUUGGAACAGUGCCAGUGGGUGCUUCUGCACAGACACAGCCUGCGUCUUCAAGUGUGCCUGCUCCAUUUGGAGCUACGCCUUCCACAAACCCAUUUGUUGCUGCUGCUGGUCCUUCCGUGGCAUCUUCUACAAAUCCAUUUCAGACCAAUGCCAGAGGAGCAACAGGCCUUUCUGGAGCAAUGCAUUCUCAAGUGUUUCCUCACGCUCAUUUUGCGGCGACCUUUGGCACUGCGUCCAUGAGCAUGCCCGCAGGGUUCGGCACUCCUGCCCCCUAUAGUCUUCCCACCAGCUUUAGUGGCAGCUUCCAGCAGCCUGCCUUCCCAGCUCAAGCAGCUUUCCCUCAACAAACAGCUUUCUCUCAACAGCCCAAUGGUGCAGGUUUUGCAGCAUUUGGUCAAACAAAGCCAGUGGUAACCCCUUUUGGUCAAGUUGCAGCUGCUGGAGUAUCUAGUAACCCUUUUAUGACUGGUGCACCAACAGGACAAUUUCCAACAGGAAGCUCAUCAACCAAUCCUUUCUUAUAGCCUUAUAUAGACACUUUACUGGAAUGAACUUUUUUUGUGGUCACAUUACAUCUCUCCGCCUCUUGCACUGUUGUCUUGUUUCACUGAUCUUAGCUUUAAACACAAGAGAAGUCUUUAAAAAGCCUGCAUUGUGUAUUAAACACCAGGUAAUAUGUGCAAAAUAGAGGGCUCCAGUAACAACUUUUAACCUGUGAAUUGGCAGAAAAGGGUAGCGGUAUCAUGUAUAUUAAAAAUUGGCUAAUAUUAAGUUAUUGCAGAUACCACAUUCAUCAUGCUGCAGUACUGUACAUAUUUUUCUUAGAAAUUAGCUAUUUGUGCAUAUCAGUAUUUGUAACUCUAACACAUCCUUAUGUGAGAAAUGUUACUGGGGAAAUGGACCAGCCACUUGUAAGGUGCUGUCAUAUAUCUUGGAAUGAAUGACCUAAAAUAAUUUUAACCCUUGCUACUGGAAAGUUACAAAGUCAAAAUUGGAAGGUUUUAUUCAUUCUUGAAUUCUUCCUUUCUAAAGAGCUCUUCUAUUUAUACAUGCCUAAAUUCUUUAAAAUGUAGAGGGAUGACCUGUCUGCAUAAUAAAGCUGAUCAUGUUUUGCUACAGUUUGCAGCCCAUAGCAUAUUAGCAAUUUGGAAGUGAUGACUUGAAGGGAAGGAGACGAAAAAACUAUGAAGAGCAUACACUGUCCAAGACCAUUUAGCAUAGGGACAGUCAGCCCAACAUGGAGGACAUCAUUCUAUUGAAUUAUCUUCUGAGAAUUGUCUAUUAUUAGGACUCUGUGUCAUCAAGGAAAGGUGAAAUUGCAUAUACGACUCUGUAUUACAUGUUUGAAAAAUUUUGUCUUAAAACGAUUAAAAAUUUUUAAAAAUCAUUGGUAUUAAAAGAGGCAAACAUCAGUUUCCUCAAACAGUUUGUUCAUGUGGAAUGCCUUUGCAAUGAUGACUACAUGAGUUGUUACUGUAGUAUUUAAAAAUCCGAAUAGUGUUUUAGACUUGUUAAAGCAUUGCUAUCCAGUAACAGCUAGCUGGAAAGUGUGGUUUAUCUGAGCCAUUUUGAAAGUAAGGUGACUGGGACAUCUCUGCCAUCCUUCUGAGUGGUAUGCCUCCUCCCUCAGAAUUAAAUGAAUUCUGCACAGGUCUGGGUAUGUUGGUCUGGAUUCAUUCAAAGUGUCUAUAUUUUGGGGGAUUCCCUCAAACCUUUUUCUAUGGAGAGAAAACUAAAAGUGUCUGAAUAUCUGUUUUAGACUUGUUUAGGUCCCAAUCAAUUCUAUGUACAAGUUAUACUAGAGGUACCAGAUCAUUAUUCAAAUAACCUACCAGGCCUUCCAUUUGAGAAGCAAAUUAAACAGCUGUUAUCAAAAUAAUUUUAAGGACUUUUUUUCCUGGAAAAAUUUGUAAUUAAGUGGAAAGUUAUAUUGAUUCAUUUAAAAUGAUUACUUAUAAAAUCAAAAUGUUUAGUUUCAAAAGGGAUCCGGGUUUAAAGUGAAUUUUCUCAUCUUAACUGUUUUAAAGUUUAAAAAACUAAUUUCUGUUAGAUAAUUAUAUUUGGAUUUGGUUUAUAUUGAUCAUCAGAAUUGUAUUAAGUACUAAAAAAAGAUAAAAAUCUUUGCAAAUGACAAGACUGAAGAUCUUCAAAUUUCCUGGGCUGCUUGUUGAAUCAGAUCUUUCCUGUAGAGUCUUUGUUCA